rnacentral:rRNA from 1 species
AUUGAACGCUGGCGGAAUGCUUUACACAUGCCAGUCGAACGGCAGCACGGGGGCAACCCUGGUGGCGAGUGGCGAACGGGUGAGUAAUACAUCGGAACGUGCCCGGUCGUGGGGGAUAACGUAGCGAAAGUUACGCUAAUACCGCAUACGAUCUGAGGAUGAAAGCGGGGGACCUUCGGGCCUCGCGCGAUCGGAGCGGCCGAUGUCAGAUUAGGUAGUUGGUGGGGUAAAGGCCUACCAAGCCGACGAUCUGUAGCUGGUCUGAGAGGACGACCAGCCACACUGGGACUGAGACACGGCCCAGACUCCUACGGGAGGCAGCAGUGGGGAAUUUUGGACAAUGGGCGCAAGCCUGAUCCAGCCAUUCCGCGUGCAGGACGAAGGCCUUCGGGUUGUAAACUGCUUUUGUAUGGAACGAAAAGGCUCUGGCUAAUACCUGGGGCUCAUGACGGUACCGUAAGAAUAAGCGCCGGCUAACUACGUG